GUGCCAGCAGCCGCGGUAAUACCGGCAGCUCGAGUGAUGGCCGAUCUUAUUGGGCCUAAAGCGUUCGUAGCCGGCCACGCAAGUCCAUCGGGAAAUCCGUCAGCCCAACUGACGGGCGUCCGGUGGAAACUGCGUGGCUUGGGACCGGAAGACCCGAAGGGUACGUCUUGGGUAGGAGUGAAAUCCUGUAAUCCUGGACGGACCACCGAUGGCGAAAGCACUUCGAGAAAACGGAUCCGACAGUGAGGGACGAAAGCUAAGAUCGCGAACCGGAUUAGAAACCCCUGUAGUCC
rnacentral:rRNA from 1 species